GAAGACCUAGUGGCGAACGGGUGAGGAACACGUGAGGAACCUGCCCCGAACUUUGGGAUAACAGUUGGAAACGACUGCUAAUACCGAAUGCCGUUACGAAGUGGCAUCACUUUGUAACGAAAGAAUUUCGGUUCGGGAGGGCCUCGCGGCCUAUCAGCUAGUUGGUGGGGUAACGGCCUACCAAGGCAUCGACGGGUAGCUGGUCUGAGAGGAUGAUCAGCCACACUGGGACUGAGACACGGCCCAGACUCCUACGGGAGGCAGCAGUGGGGAAUCUUGUGCAAUGGGCGAAAGCCUGACACAGCCACGCCGCGUGCGGGAAGAAGGCCUUCGGGUUGUAAACCGCUUUCAGCAGGAACGAAAAUAACGGUACCUGCAGAAGAAGAUGCGGCCAACUACGUGCCAGCAGCCGCGGUGAUACGUAGGCAUCAAGCGUUGUCCGGAUUUAUUGGGCGUAAAGAGCUCGUAGGCGGUUCAGCAAGUCGGGUGUGAAAACUCUGGGCUUAACCCAGAGCCUGCACUCGAAACUGCUGUGACUAGAGUUCGGUAGGGGAGCAGGGAAUUCCUAGUGUAGCGGUGAAAUGCGCAGAUAUUAGGAGGAACACCAAUGGCGAAGGCACUGCUCUGGGCCGAUACUGACGCUGAGGAGCGAGAGCGUGGGUAGCAAACAGGAUUAGAUACCCUGGUAGUCCACGCCGUANACGAUGGGCACUAGGUGUGGGUCUCUAACCAACGAGAUCUGCGCCGUCGCUAACGCAUUAAGUGCCCCGCC
rnacentral:rRNA from 1 species